UCUCGGAGUCCCUCAAGUUUAUUGCUUUUACAGAAGAAACUAAUGGGGGACUCCAGAGUUCAGAAACAAAUACUAAUGCACAGAAUGAAAAUAUUCCAAGGGAUAAAUCUGAAAAUAUGAAUAAUGAAGUUAAAUCUGAAGAAACAGAAAGUAGUAGAAGCUUAUUUAUAUAGUGAAAAUGUAAUUAAAUAUGGGAAGCUCAUAUGGAAAGCUGAAAGUAUUCCCUUUAUUAAAACUAUAUAUUAAGUAUUAUUAAAAUUGAAUCUUAUGUCUUGAAUGUAUAUAUAUUCUUCUACAGGAUGAUGUCAUUUAAAGUAAAUAUGCAAACUUUAUUUGACUGAUGUUUGGUGGAAGAAAAUAUAUUGUUAUCUCAAAGAUUAUAUGCUAUUAAAAAUAAUUAUUUUUUUACCUAA